AAACAUGCGGCACACCUUACAUUAGACAAUCAACUUAUCUCCUCUAAUGCAAUCAGAAGAUAGAUAGGUGUACAUGGUUCACAUCGGCAUCACAUCCUGAUAAAAAUAGAGUUACACGAUUUGAGGCUACAUGAAGUAGCACUUGUACACAAGUGCUGCAACAACACGAACAGGGAAAAGCUCUUCACGCAGCAAGAUCCUUGGUUGCCAGGGGCAUGAGCUGCAGCAGCACAACUUGUACAUAACCAAGCUAGCUAUCAAUAACAGCAUCUGUUAACCGACAAAUAAUGCAGCAAUCACAAUGCCAAACAAUUAAAGUCAAUGAGAUACGUAAGCACCUAAACCAUUAGCUUGCAGCUAAAUAAGCUGAAACAGAACAAAACAAUCUUGCUUCCUGGUGUGUCAAACCAACACAAAGACAACACCAAAAACACUAAACCAUUUUUUUCUUUAACUAGAAGCACACCACAUAUCAGUUUUUGUACCAAAGAUUAUUCAUAACCAGAACCAAGCUGCUUGCUACUUCCUUGAUCUAAAAAAGCUGCUUGCUACAAGUGUAGAGGAAAUCAAACAACAGUUCAACCGACCAAUACAAUAAAUUGCCCAUAAAAACAGUAAAAAAAAAUCCAGGAAUGUACAACACAACCAUCGACGAAAUCCAAGCCCAUUAUAAGUAAUCCCUCUUGUCACAUGCAUCAGCUCUCUGCUAACCUGGAGCCAAACAACUAGAGCAACUCUGUUUACAAAUCCAAAUCAACCCAAACAGCAUGAACUCUAAAUCAUAAUGUGUGUGUCUGAUCUGAACUCUAAUUUAUCCUAAAUUCAGUGGCACAUAGUUCAUCAGGAUUUCAGAAUCUAGGACCAAAAAAAUAUUCACUAGACUGAGCUAUGGUCAGAGACUAACCCAAAUAGCUAAGAGGAAAAUUAGUAAGAGGCGCUAUAGUUCAGAUUAUUCACUUGGAAAGCACGCCCUCUCAACCAAAACGAACUGCCGCCGGUAGCUUUGAUGCACACGUGCACCCCGGCGAAACCAGCCAGAUCAGCAUUACCAAAGGAAUAAAAGGAACAAAAUCAAAAAAUAACCAAAAACAUGCAAAUCUGGAACAAAUGAACAACUAGGAGAAAAGCACAAUUACAGGUCGUGAUCCGGCCUCACCGACGGAAACAAUGAAGAAAAUGAUUUCUCACGGCCAGAUCCGUGGACGAGGACCGCGUCCUCGGAAGAUCUCGUGUUGCCCAAACUCGAACUGAUCUGGCCGCCGGAGUGGAAGAUGACACCGGAUCCGGGUGGUUUGGCACUUUGGCCGCCGUAGUGGAAGAGGACAAGCGCUCCAGCCGUCGCCUCACAGGCGCAGCGUUGGAGCGGAGGUUGGGUGUGGCGGCGCCAUGAGCAGACGAGAGGUGGCCGGCGCAACCCCACGGCGAGGAUAAGGAGAGGGGCAGAAGCAGGCCGAUGGGCCAAAC
rnacentral:lncRNA from 1 species